AACUACUGCCUGGGGAGACUUUGUCUUGAAAACAAAUUUUAAGUGUUCGAAUCACUUAGUAGUUU
rnacentral:tRNA from 1 species